rnacentral:rRNA from 1 species
AGAGAUCAUGGCUCAGAUUGAACGCUGGCGGCAUGCCUUACACAUGCAAGUCGAACGGCAGCGCGGGGCAACCUGGCGGCGAGUGGCGAACGGGUGAGUAAUAUAUCGGAACGUACCCUGGAGUGGGGGAUAACGUAGCGAAAGUUACGCUAAUACCGCAUACGAUCUAAGGAUGAAAGUGGGGGAUUCGCAAGAACCUCAUGCUCCUGGAGCGGCCGAUAUCUGAUUAGCUAGUUGGUGGGGUAAAGGCCUACCAAGGCAUCGAUCAGUAGCUGGUCUGAGAGGACGACCAGCCACACUGGAACUGAGACACGGUCCAGACUCCUACGGGAGGCAGCAGUGGGGAAUUUUGGACAAUGGGCGAAAGCCUGAUCCAGCAAUGCCGCGUGAGUGAAGAAGGCCUUCGGGUUGUAAAGCUCUUUUGUCAGGGAAGAAACGGUGAGGGCUAAUAUCCCUUGCUAAUGACGGUACCUGAAGAAUAAGCACCGGCUAACUACGUGCCAGCAGCCGCGGUAAUACGUAGGGUGCAAGCGUUAAUCGGAAUUACUGGGCGUAAAGCGUGCGCAGGCGGUUUUGUAAGUCUGUCGUGAAAUCCCCGGGCUCAACCUGGGAAUUGCGAUGGAGACUGCAAGGCUAGAAUCUGGCAGAGGGGGGUAGAAUUCCACGUGUAGCAGUGAAAUGCGUAGAGAUGUGGAGGAACACCGAUGGCGAAUGCAGCCCCCUGGGUCAGGAUUGACGCUCAUGCACGAAAGCGUGGGGAGCAAACGGGAUUAGAUACCCUGGUAGUCACGCCCUAAACGA